CCUACGGGAGGCUGCAGUGAGGAAUAUUGGUCAAUGGACGCAAGUCUGAACCAGCCAAGCCGCGUGCAGGAAGACGGCUCUAUGAGUUGUAAACUGCUUUUGUACGAGGGUAAACGCAGAUACGCGUAUCUGUCUGAAAGUAUCGUACGAAUAAGCAUCGGCUAACUCCGUGCCAGCAGCCGCGGUAAUACGGAGGAUUCAAGCGUUAUCCGGAUUUAUUGGGUUUAAAGGGUGCGUAGGCGGUCGGAUAAGUUAGAGGUGAAAUCCCGGGGCUCAACUUCGGAAUGGCCUCUGAUACUGUUCGGCUAGAGUGUAGUUGCGGUAGGCGGAAUGUAUGGUGUAGCGGUGAAAUGCUUAGAGAUCAUACAGAACACCGAUUGCGAAGGCAGCGUACCAGGCUACUUCUGACGUUGAGGCACGAAAGCGUGGGGAGCAAACAGGAUUAGAUACCCGAGUAGUC
rnacentral:rRNA from 1 species